ACAAGAUUGAAAGGAGGUGAUCCAGUGUCUCAUUGUUUGGUCCCGCAGGGGACAGUCUCGACCUGGAUUUCCACUUUCGGCGGCAUCGCGUCCUGACGCACGUAGCCGGGAAGUCCGUUAUGUCCUUCUAGGACAGGGUCGAGAGACCUGCGGUCAGGCAAUGGAAGGGUCGCUCUCGCAAGGGAGCGGCCCU
rnacentral:sRNA from 2 species